CGGAUUGCAGGCUGCAACUCGCCUGCAUGAAGUCGGAAUUGCUAGUAAUCGUAGGUCAGCAUACUACGGUGAAUACGUUCCCGGGCCUUGUACACACCGCCCGUCAAACCAUGAGAGUUGGCAACACCCGAAGUCGGUAGUCUAACCGCAAGGAGGACGCCGCCGAAGGUGGGGUUGAUGAUUAGGGUUAAGUCGUAACAAGGUACC
rnacentral:rRNA from 1 species